GAGUUUGAUCAUGGCUCAGAACGAACGCUUGCUGCAUGCUUUAUACAUGCAAGUCGAACGAAGGCCCUAGCUUGCUAGGUGUCCUUAGUGGCGCACGGGUGAGUAACACGUGGGAACAUACCUCAUAGUACGGAAUAACUGCGGGAAACUGUAGCUAAUACCGUAUAUUCCAGAAAUGGGAAAGAUUUAUCGCUAUGAGAUUGGCCCGCGCAAGAUUAGCUUGUUGGUAAGGUAAUGGCUUACCAAGGCUCCGAUCUUUAGCUGGUUUGAGAGGAUGAUCAGCCACACUGGGACUGAGACACGGCCCAGACUCCUACGGUAGGCAGCAGUAGGGAAUAUUGGACAAUGGGGGAAACCCUGAUCCAGCAAUGCAGCGUGAGUGACGAAGGCCUUAGGGUUGUAAAACUCUUUCAUCGGUGAGGAUAAUGACAGUAGCCGAAGAAGAAGGACCGGCUAAUUCCGUGCCAGCAGCCGCGGUAAUACGGAAGGUCCUAGCGUUGUUCGGAAUUACUGGGCGUAAAGCGCAUGUAGGCGGAACAAAAAGUUAGAAGUGAAAUCCCUGGGCUCAACCUAGGAAUGGCUUUUAAAACUUUUGUUCUGGAAUUCAGGAGAGGAAAAUGGAAUUUCCAGUGUAGAGGUGAAAUUCGUAGAUAUUGGAAGGAACACCAGUGGCGAAAGCGAUUUUCUGGACUGAUAUUGACGCUGAGAUGCGAAGGCAUGGGUAGCAAACGGGAUUAGAUACCCCGGUAGUCCAUGCAGUAAACGAUGGGUGCUAGUCGUCGGACUUUUGUUCGUGUCGUAGCUAACGCGUUAAGCACCCGCCUGGGGGAGUACGGUCGCAGAUUAAACUCAAAUAAAUUGACGGGGACCGCACAGCAGUGAGCAUGUGGUUUAUCGACGCACGCGAGACUACAGCGUUGACAUGGAGUGCGUACGAUGUUACUCAGUCGCUGCUCCACACAGUGCUGCAUGCUGUCGUCAGCUCGUGUCUGAGAUGUGGUUAGUUCCGCACGAGCGCAUCUAUCGUUAGUACUACAGUCGCUGAGACUCUAGCGACUGCGGUAAGCCGAGAGUGAUACCAGUCUAUGGCUACGCUGACUUCACACGGUCGUACAAAUGGUGAUC
rnacentral:rRNA from 1 species